UCCAUGAAUGUCUUUCCUGGUGUACUCCUAGGAAGAGUGGAUUUCAGAGAAACGGAGCCCUUCCCUUUGGAGGCAGCUGACAUGCGCUUCACUGGAGAGCCUGCCUUCAGGGUUAGCCUUCUCUUUCUAAAAUGUGGAACCCACGAUCAGAGGGACUAAGCUAUUUGUCCAAGACCCCCCGGCUGGCAGGUGGUAGGCGCAAGAACUGAUUGGAUACCAAAUGCAGAACUCCAAACUCUGUCCCAGCUGCCAGGGCCUCCUCCUGUGUGGCCUCUCCUGUCCCCGGUGCCCGUGAGCAGGGCCGCCUGCUCCGGAUGGGACCCUGCGGGCCAGUGGCGCUCGGCCCACCCGGGGCUAUCACAAAUACCCCAGUGCCGCCAUCCUCUUGCCGGUGUUCCAGAGCCUCCCCUGACAGCCGACCUAGGAAGUGUCUGGUCCUGGAGUCAACUCCUGGAGGUCAACUGUGAGAACUGUGGGGGCGAGGCAGGUGGCCAGGACAGAGGCUGGUAGAUUGCUGACCCAGAGGGAAGCCCGCAGGGACCUGGGAGGACACCUGCAUUGUAGCGCCACCCAGCGGGGCAUCCAGGGAAAGCCACACUACCCACCUGGGCACACCUGUGCCCACACACACACAGACCCACACACAAACACCCACGCACCACCCACAUCCCCGCACACCAGGUGCCCAUGCACUGGUAAGUUUGUUGUUGCUGGCAGUGCCUGGCGAAAGCUCUGGGUGAUCCUGCAGUGAGCCACACCCAGGGUGGCCCAAGGCCCAGCUCCCUACUUACUGGCCUUAGGGGUGAAACAGCAGAGGUGGUGAAGCGAUUAUCCCGGUUCCCUGUCUCACAUGGAAGAAGAAUUUCCAAGCAGACAAGGCAAAGAGAAAAGCAAGAUAUAUUGAAGCCGGCACCGCAGCUCUAUAGGCUAAUCCUCCACCUGCGGCGCCGGCACCCCAGGUUCUAGUCCCUGUUGGGGCACUGGAUUCUGUCCAGGCUGCUCCUCUUCCAGUCCAGCUCUCUGCUGUGGCCUGGGAGGGCAGUGGAGAAUGGCCCAGGUGCUUGGGCCCUGCACUCACAUGGGAGACCAGGAGGAAGCACCUGGCUCCUGGCUUUGGAUUGGUGCAGCACCGGCCAUGGCGGCCAUUCGGGGGGUGAACCAACGGAAGGAAGACCUGGACUCCACCCCCAUCCUGUGUGUGUGCAGGGCACAGCGCCUCUUUGUGAAUGUGAGGGAAGCCCUCACCCCUUUACCUGAAAGAACCAGCAUUGCUGAGGCUGGGGGUGGGGGUGGCACAGAGCUCGCUGCUCUGUCUGAUGUCCACUCUCCAUCUAGGUGCACCCACGAGGGAGGGCACCCAUGGGAGUCUGGGCUGAUGGCUCCCCCGUGGCUUUGGGAAGUGGAAGCCGUCUCUCCCCGCACCCCUGCCACGAUGGGAAGGGUCAGAAGCCGGAGUGCUCACAGCAGUAGGUGCGGCUCCUGCAUUCCCGAGGACUUGUCACUGCGGAUCCUCUACGCAAUCUAAAAGCAGGGAUGCGGAGCUCCUAAGGGUCCUUCCAGCGACGGGAAGACGCAGCCGACUGCACGCUGAGUUAUCUGCAGCUCAAACUCAGCUCGCUCUGCAGCCGGAAGCUGGUUUAACGACACCUGCACCCGCUUCUCCAUGGCCGUGGACCCUCCCGGCCGAGGAACUAGCUCCCAGCAAGGAAAACAGUCUGUGCUGGUGGCCAGCCUGGAGGAGCUCCCUGCUGACACAGUGGAAGAUGGCCCAGGUCCUUGGGCCCCUGCACCCACGUGGGAGACCCAGAUGGAGUUCCAGGUUCCUGGCUUCUGCAACCAGCAAAUAGAUCUCUCUCUCCCUCUGUCUUUCUGUAACUCUUUCAAAUAAA